rnacentral:sRNA from 1 species
GAAUUAGCAGUUCACAAAGCACAUUCACAUAUAAGGGCUUGUUUUGAAUUGAUCUUGGCAGCAAUUCUAUGAGACAAGUAAAAGCAUGAGAGGAAGAGGAACUGCACCUCUUCCUUCAGUUUCAGCUUGAAUAAUAUCAGGAAGACUCAUAUCGGUCUGAAUUGGGUCACGUACCCAAUGUACUGUAGCUGAGGAUAGGGCUGGCAGGUUAGUGCUGGAGCAAGUGGCCAGUCACCAUCAUUAGGGUUGUGGAUCCUCAGGGUUCUUCAGAAGCCCCUUCACCAUGAUCAAGAGUCCUCAGUCACUCAGAAUUCCACGGUUUCCAAAUGCCAGCUCUCCCACUACUCCCAGCGUUCUCCAUCUCUCGGAUGUUGGGCUCCAGGCU